AGGCGGUGGGGGGAAGGAGGGGGGUUGCCGUGGUCCUCCAAGGGGGGGUUCUGUGAUUUCUGGGUCCUCCAAGGAGGGGGUCCGACUGUACCCAAGUCCUCCAAGGACCCCCCAAAGUCCUCCAAGGGGGGGUUCUGUGAUCUCUGGGUCCUCCAAGGAGGGGUUCUGUGAUUUCUGGGUCCUCCAAGGGAGGGGUCUGACUGUACCCAAGUCCUCCAGGGCCCCCCCAAGUCCUCCAAGGGGGGGAUCUCCCCGUUCCCGUGCCCCCCAACUUCUUUUUUUGUCUCUUUCUCUCUCCCACAGGGGCCGCGCCAGAGCCACCUCCUGGUACUCCCCCUAUUGAAAGCCGUCAGCGCCCCACAAGUGUGGGG
rnacentral:lncRNA from 1 species